GCCGCGUGUGUGAAGAAGGCCUUCGGGUUGUAAAGCACUUUUGUCCGGAAAGAAAUCCUUGGCUCUAAUACAGCCGGGGGAUGACGGUACCGGAAGAAUAAGCACCGGCUAACUACGUGCCAGCAGCCGCGGUAAUACGUAGGGUGCGAGCGUUAAUCGGAAUUACUGGGCGUAAAGCGUGCGCAGGCGGUUUGCUAAGACCGAUGUGAAAUCCCCGGGCUCAACCUGGGAACUGCAUUGGUGACUGGCAGGCUAGAGUAUGGCAGAGGGGGGUAGAAUUCCACGUGUAGCAGUGAAAUGCGUAGAGAUGUGGAGGAAUACCGAUGGCGAAGGCAGCCCCCUGGGCCAAUACUGACGCUCAUGCACGAAAGCGUGGGGAGCAAACAGGAUUAGAUACCCUGGUAGUCCACGCCCUAAACGAUGUCAACUAGUUGUUGGGGAUUCAUUUCCUUAGUAACGUAGCUAACGCGUGAAGUUGACCGCCUGGGGAGUACGGUCGCAAGAUUAAAACUCAAAUGAAUUGACGG
rnacentral:rRNA from 1 species